AGUGAACGCUGGCGGUAGGCCUAACACAUGCAAGUCGAACGGCAGCACAGUAAGAGCUUGCCCUUACGGGUGGCGACUGGCGGACGGGUGAGGAAUACAUAGGAAUCUACUUUUACGUGGAGAAUAACGUAGGGAAACAUACGCUAAUACCGCAUAUGACCUACGGGAUAAAGCAGGGGAUCUUCGGACCUUGCGCGACUGAAUGAGCCGAUGCCGGAUUAGCUAGUUGGCGGGGUAAAGGCCCACCAAGGCGACGAUCCGUAGCUGGUCUGAGAGGAUGAUCAGCCACACUGGAACUGAGACACGGUCCAGACUCCUACGGGAGGCAGCAGUGGGGAAUAUUGCACAAUGGGCGAAAGCCUGAUGCAGCAAUACCGCGUGAGUGAUGAAGGCCUUCGGGUCGUAAAGCCCUUUUGUUGGGAAAGAAAAGCAGCAGAUGAAACUGCCGCUGUUCUGACGGUACCCAAUGAAUAAGCACCGGCUAACUUCGUG
rnacentral:rRNA from 1 species